GGAGGCCAGUCUUUUGCCUAUUUUAAAAAAUGAAAGAGUAAUAUUCUCUUCUGAGUUGUGUCCACCAAAUUAGCCUUCCCAUUCCCGUCCGUCGUUCCUCUUCUUCUUCUGGCUCUUUAGGGUUUUGAUUGAAGAGAAAAGAAAAGAUAAACGGUUUCUUUUCUGUCCAGUAAGCGGAUGGGAUCUUUUUCUUUUAUGUUUAUAUGAAUUGAAUCAGAAAGGGAGUUCAGCAAUUUGGUAACAUCCUACAUGUUAUUGCAGACUUUUUUGAGAUGUGUCUAAAAUGCGAUGAAUGCUCUCAUAUUGGUUCCACAAAAAUUGCACCAUUCACUGAGGGAAAAAAGAGCGCUGAUCAUUCGUGCCUGUUAAAUUUUACUACGAGUCCUUACCAAUCAACUAUCGGUACAAUGUCUGAAAGUUCUGCACCUAAUUUUGUAUAUAGAAGAAGGAAGCAACGAGGAAACUCUGUUGCCAUUUUCUCGGCACAGGUCCGUGAAAGCACAAAGAGAAGUGGAGAUGAGUGUCUCUCUGUUGUCAGUUCUGAUGCUCCUUCUAUUGCAGUUAAGGAGCGACAAAUAGUUUCUCAAGGUGAGAAUGCUAUUGGAGCUACUGUCAUACCUAUUAAUGGAUGUUCACUGGCAGAAGAACAGGGUUCUGAUGAAUCAUCCAAUAAUAGUGGGCAGAAAAUCAUUGAGGUUGACAGUAUAAAUGACAGUUGCUCAUCAUCAAAGUCUGAUAUGGAACUUGUUUCAGCUUCUAUGCAGACUGAAGUGGACAAUACUGGUGAGUGCUCCUCAUCCAGUGUAAAGGUAGUAGAGGUCAUCGGGGAAGAUUUAUCAGAAAAGGAUUUAUGUGUCUCUAUAAUUAGAAGCCAGGGUGUGCUUGAAGGAGUUUGGCCUAGCAGGACUCAUGCCUCUGCUGAAGAUGUUGGUGAUAGUAGUGCUAGCAGCAAUUCUCGGUCUUGCAAAAUUUGUGCUCAUCCAGAGUCUCCUCUUAAGAUGAUAAUUUGUGAUAAUUGUGAAGAGGCAUUUCAUCUAUCUUGCUGCAACCCUCGUGUAAAAAGAAUACCGGUUGAUGAUUGGUUUUGUCAUUCAUGUUCAAAGAAGCGUCGCAAAAUCCUUAAAGAGAAAAUUUCUAGAUCUCCUAAUAUGAUUGGUGAAAAGGGUAGAUGUGGAAAUUUUUCUACAAUUGAAUCAAAUCCAAUAGCAUUGAUGUUGAGAGAUACUGGGUCAUAUAAAACCAGUGUCAGAAUUGGAAAAGGUUUUCAAGCAGAUGUUCCAGACUGGUCAGGUCCAAUUACUAAUGAUGAAGAUGCAUUUGGUGAGGCUUUGGAACUGGAUCCAUCAGAUUUUGUUAGUAUGACUGAUUUGAAGUCAAACAAGCCAUCUAAACUUGGCGCUAUUGGUAACUGGCUUCAGUGUAAAGAGGUUAUAGAUGGUGCAGGAGAAAGUACUAUAUGUGGAAAGUGGCGCAGGGCUCCUUUGUUUGAUGUCCAAACUGAUGACUGGGAAUGCUUCUGUUCCUUUCUUUGGGACCCUAUUCAUGCUGAUUGUGCUGUACCCCAGGUGAUUAACUUGCCAAUUUUGAUGUUUUUCUAUCUGUAUUUGGUUUUUCCCCUUCUGUAUAUUGAAAACACAUUUUGCAUUUUAAUUGAUAUUAUUUCAACCUCAACUUGGUUAUGUUUACAUGGUGUUUAACUCCCCCUGUAAAGCCUACAAAAGUAUCUUAAUGAGGGAAACAGGCCUUGCAAAUUCAACCAUCAUAAUUCAGAGUUCUAAAAAUGAAUCUAUGUUGGUGUCAUGUAGAAUUUUUUACAUACUGGUUCUCAUGAACCAGCCAGUGGUAUAAGUUGAAUUACUUAAAUAGAUGAUUGGUAACUGGAUCAAAACCAUCUUGGGGGAGGGCUGGUCCUGGUCCUCCCUCCUCGAACCAGACCGGACCAGAACCAGUGGUCUGGUCUGGUCUGGUUCGAACUUGCCUCUUAACAAAAAAUGAAAAAUUUUCAACUGUUGGAUUGAUUCAACCAGAUUUAACCAGAAUCAAACUGGAACCAGAACUGGGCCCCCUAUGGUCUGGUUCAGGGCCUUUGGUUCUGCAGAACUGGACCAGACCUAGCCAGUGGUUGCCUCUACUUCCGUGUGUACUUGCUGUAUCUUUGUAAUGGUGUACCAGCAGUGUUGCUUCUCAUUUCUUCCAUUAGAGUUACUGAAUUUGUUGUAGCAUUGAUCACCUACAUUUAAAAUGGAUGCAUUUCAUCAGCCUGGCAUUGAAUUAGUUUAGUGAAAAUUUCAUUUUUGGUUGCUGUUAGCCAAUUUUCUUGAUUAGAUCAUGUAUUUCUUUAACAAGCUUGCUGCAGAAGAGUUGAGUCGGUUCAGCAGUUAAUGGUAUAUUCAAGUUAUUGUUGCUUUCUGCACUAUCGUUAAAAUUUUUUGGUUAUCAUCAAAUAUUAUUUUAUCUUUAGUGGCUUUAUAUGGAUGAUUUAAUGCAAAGCA
rnacentral:misc_RNA from 1 species